GAGUGAAAUGGGUGAGGAAGAGUGGGGGGAGGAGGUCCCUGUUUAUAAAGGAAGAGAACUGUUGAAUUGGCAACAAGUGUUGCAAAUCCAUGAGGAGACAUAAAAUAAAGACGUCAUCAUGACAUCAUUAGUGUCAAUCAGUCAAGGGGAGGUAUGACUCCCGAGGCAACGGUGGGGGAAGCAGCGAUGGCAGCGUAGGGCUUGAGGCAGUAGCGAUAUGAGGCUUGAGGCGAUGGAGAUGUAGGGCUCGAGGAGGCGACGACAACAUAGGGCAGUGGUAGAGCAUGGUAUGAGGCUCAAUGCUGGGCUUGGUAGGCAUGUAGCUAGUUGGCGCGCUUGGACGGCAUGCUAACUCGUGCGGUGGGCUAUUCUCGUGCGUGUACCAGCGUCUUGUGCCUAUCGCAUCACAUAAGCGUACAUUGAGCCAUGUGCCUGACGGAUGCAUCUAUGCUCGAGAUUCAUGCAUAUACUGUGCGCGGUGUAACGCCCAGGCAGAUGGGUCAUGCACUUGUGUCUUGCACCUAUCGCAUCACACAGGCGUGCAUGGAGCCAUGCUCCUGACAAAUGCGUCUAUGCUCGGGAUUCACACGUAGACUACGUGCAGUACGACGCCCAUGCGGAUUGGUCGUGCUCAUUGCGUCCAUUUGGUCAUAUGUGUGUGCGUGCGAGCGCAAAGCCCGCAAGGCACUCCUGCACGGGCAUACGGGCAGGCCCAUGCAGGUUAGGGGGUUUUCCCAUAGUAAUUUUUUUCCAAUUUUUUUCCUCUUCU
rnacentral:lncRNA from 1 species